rnacentral:lncRNA from 1 species
GAUACGAACCACCGAGGGACUGGUGGGGAGUAUGGAAGAUGGAUAGAAAUGGAAUACGAACCGCCGAGGGACUGGUGGGGAGUAUGGGAAAACGCGGCGGCCGUAGCGUUCAAAAACGGCAAGUAAGAAUAGAGGCGCCGGUAAGAUUGAGUCACGCCGAGUCUUGGCGGGAAGGGGUCGUAAUACACUGCAAGGGGUAUGGACUACAUCCAAGGGAACCGGAUGCCGGGUGUACCAGGGCAGGCGACCUCAUAGGGAUGCAGCAAGAAAGGGGAGGGUUGGUCCGCUUGAGCUGUGUAGGUCCUAGAGUUAUAAGAUGAAUGGAAUCUUAAUUAAUAAACCGAAAUGUGUGAAUUGAGCGAUGACUGAGUUCAUUGCACUGCUUGUUUUGUGAAAUGAAACUUUAAUAGUUAGUUAGGAAUUGGGUGUAGUGACUAGUCGGUUCUCGUUUCGCAUUGAGCGGUAUAAAAGCUCAUGGGGGAGACUGGUCUAGAAUCGCUUCACUGAGUAUUCGUACUCACCCCUCCUUUUCCCUCUCAUUUUGCAGAACUAUAAGUGGAAAUGUCGACGGUAAGAAAGGAAACGCACCUGAAACUCAUGGGACCAGAAACGGGACACACGGAGAUGUCGGGAAAGUAGACAUGUGUGUCCUAAACCCCGCGCCCUGGAACCCCGGUUGGAAAUGGGGAGGGACGGGUGUUUCAAUUGGUAUCAGAGCCAGGUUAAGGUCCCUUAAUAUUAACUUAAGGGAUCAGUAUUUCCGCCAUCGUUCAUUCUUUCCUUAUGGUUCUGUUGGACCCGUUGUAGUCAGUGUUGAAAGAGAAUUCGAACAGCUCAGAGUCUUCGGCCGAGAUCAGAACAACAAAAGGUCUUGAACCGUAGUGUGGAGGAAUUUUAGAGGCCCAGGAAGGGAUUAACAAGGAGUUCUAAGACAAGUGCACAAAGGGAUCAGUUGCCUAGCACGACAGACUAAGGAGGAGCGGAAGAUCGGACAUACUAGCUUGAGAUGAUACGUCUCGCCGACAUCACCACCCCACGCCGGCCAGGAAGGUUAGGGGAUGAGGAUCAGACACAAGGUCGAGGCAUGCGCCGCCUCACGGAAGAGACAUCUCUACAGGAAAAAGCGAUGCAUCGUUCUGAUAUUACAGCCAAGCUCGUUUCCUAUAUAUAUAUAUAAAAUGGAAAAAGGCACCAAGUACUGAGCAAGGAGGAAAUGCUAGCACGGACUCUUCCAACAUCAGCAAGGUCGGAACCAAAGGCGACAUGGAGGCUGGGAAAAAGGAGCGGGCACGACAGGGAGUAGCACUUCGAUUUGGGAAAAUUACCCUAGAGUAAUUGGCUAAGCAGAUGAAAAAUAUAAGGGGAAACAAAGUGUCUCAACUCAAUGUCAAAGAUUCAAGUCCUUAAAGAUAGGCAUGAUGAGAGCUUUGUUGGUAAUAAACUACACAAUGACUAAAGACGAAGUAGCUAGAGGAAGGAGCUUCUCGAAGUCGCAACGAGGAUGACCAACUCCGGUUUACAGGGAGUAAACUAAGUAUCGUCUUACGGCAAAAUGUUUGAUGGAUGAUCAAUUUUUGGGAAACAAAGGAUACUAAUAAGGAUAGUGGAUCUUCGUAGGGAUGUCUUCACUAGUGCAUCAAGAGUUCGAGAAAGACACCUGCGCGAUAGACCAAAGGGGACAAAGCCGUAAACCCCACUACGACGCAGUGGGUAACAUGGUACCUGCCCUCUUCCCGGAUGAGGAGGAAAUAGAAUUCGUGGAGCAGCCGAACGCCCACAUCUGGGAGACAACUGUGAGGCGUCAGGUACUGAUGCCCCAUUUCCAGAAGGCGGCAGAGUAGAGUAUAGGCGGAUGUACCAAAGCCAUGGGACUAUCCAGUUCGCGCCUGAAGUCGAAACAACACCGGCCAAGAUGGGCCAUGGGCACCCAAGGAAGUUCGGAUUGACCGGGGAAGGUCUUGGACCGUUUAGGAUGGAGGUCAGUGUGCCAACAAGGGAGCAUGGACGACCAAGGAAAAUUCCUAGCAUUGAUGCGGACCGUCUGAGGAGCAUAACCGGAGUAUGUCAGUGUGGGACACUGAUGCAUGCCAAGCAAGAACCACGCUCAGUCCAGGAGUACACCGAGGAAUUCCGGGAGACAGCCAAAAGAUGCAAGCCAAAGACAUUGGAGGAUUGGUACCGAUGGUAUAUGGCAGGGUUCUGUGGGGAAAUUCAGGGCAAGCUGAUGGGUGUGUUCGAACCAUGGAAUUCGCUCUGGAGAACCGGAUAUUCGGUCAAGCGAUGGAGGCAGAGCGAACACUUACUGUCGGGUCGUCGCUAUCUAGAGAUCUAAGGGAGAAGUGGAAGUGGAAGAGGAUCUGCGGAAGACAUCGAUUAUGGAUGAAAGAACCUCAGGAGGAUGUACCGAGCCAUGCAAGUGUGAGAUCCUUGUUGAGAUAGUGUGUAGGCCACGCCUGGUCCAAGAGUACACUAAGGAGUUCUUAGACAUGGCCGAGAAAUGCAAGUCGAAGCCUGCGGAGGGGUAGUGCCGGUGUUAUAAGGCGAGACUCCGUAGGGACAUUCGAGGAGAGCUGAAUGGAGCCAUGGAAUCUAUGGAAUUUGCCUUAGUGGUGAGGAUGGCAGGGAUGGCGAUGGCAGCAAAGGCGUGGUUGUUAAACAUGUUAUUUAUGUCACAAGUGCUGAACAGGAAGAGAAUCCAUCAGAAGAUUAACAAUAGGAGGAUUAUCUGGAACCGUCAGCUAGAGGUGUCCGAGUGUUUGGUUAUUACUCGAGGCAGAAACACGCUUCUCCACUUUGUAGAGACUAGAUAUGAUCUUGAAAACAUCCCGUAUGAGUAGGAAUUAUGUUCUUCCUUAUUUACGUGGGAGUUUUCGAAAGAAGAUCCUUAAGAAAAUAUUGUGUGCCUCCCUUGAAUGUGUUUGAACUCACCCCGGGUUUUGGGAUGUUAGUGUUCAAAGCCUGAAGAUGGGAAUUCGGGGCGAAUUCCGAUUAACAGGGGGAGAAUUGUAACACCCCAAAACUCAAACCCAAAAAGUUUUUGUGGUUUAAAAGGAAAGGCCCGCUCUGCAGCCCAUUAAGAUUAAAACCCUAGGGUUUCCUUGCCUUCUUCUAUAAAUAUAAAGCCUCCACCCCUUAGUCUCCCAUCAGAAACUUUGAAGCGAAGCUCUGCAGAGAAAUCCCGGAGACCGGAAGCCCUAGCCGUCGAUGAUCUUUCUCUCUCCCUGCGCUGCCUCUCUUGCUUUUCUCCCUCCUCGCCGCGUCUCUCUCCUCUCUCUCUCCUCACGAUCUCUCUCUCUCCCGGUCGAAUCUCUCUCUCUCCUUGCCGUUAGCAGCCGCGAGUGGUGGUGGUGGCCGCGUGGUGUCGUAGAUCUCAGAUCCCGUUUCUCUUACCCCUUAUUUUCAGAUCCAGAUCCGGAUCUAGGCUAAGGUGAGGUGUUCUACCCAGAUCUCUUUCAUGUUCUUCUAUAUUGUUGAAUGUGGAUCUAGGAUUGAGUAGAUCCUGGUUGUUGUUAGGUUGAUAGACCAUGUUGCAUUAGAACUCUCGUACUGAUUUAGGAUUCUAAAUAAACCGGUGUGAUGAUGAUUGAUUGAUUGUUUGAUUGGUUGAAGAUCUGUGGUUGUGAUUGAGAGCUAGGAUGGUUAGAAAGAAAUGAACGUAGGAUCUCAAGAGAACUGUUAACCGGUCUGGUUAGAUGAAUGAUAGGAUAUCCAUGACUGAUUGUUAAAUGGAUUGAGUGUGACACCGAGAACGGGUGGCGUCUAAAAAAGGAAAGUAAGAAAGAGUCUAAGGGUUUAAGGAAAAAGGAAAUGAUAAGAAAAAGGAAAAGUUAAGAAAUGGAUACGAACCACCGAGGGACUGGUGGGGAGUAUGGAAGAUGGAUAGAAAUGGAAUACGAACCGCCGAGGGACUGGUGGGGAGUAUGGGAAAACGCGGCAGCCGUAGCGUUCAAAAACGGCAAGUAAGAAUAGAGGCGCCGGUAAGAUUGAGUCACGCCGAGUCUUGGCGGGAAGGGGUCGUAAUACACUGCAAGGGGUAUGGACUACAUCCAAGGGAACCGGAUGCCGGGUGUACCAGGGCAGGCGACCUCAUAGGGAUGCAGCAAGAAAGGGGAGGGUUGGUCCGCUUGAGCUGUGUAGGUCCUAGAGUU